rnacentral:piRNA from 1 species
AGAUUCAUUUAACUCUGUCCUUCU